AUUGAACGCUGGCGGCAGGCCUAACACAUGCAAGUCAAGCGGAUGUAGUGCGCUUUCUCCUGGAUUCAGCGUCGGACGGGUGAGUAAUGCCUAGGAAUCUGCCUGCUCGUGGGGGAUAACGUCCGGUAACGGGCGCUUCUACCGCUUACUUCCUGAGUGGGCAAGUUGGGGAUCUUCUGACCUCACUCUCUCAUUUGAGCCUAGGUCGGAUUGGCUAGUUGGUGGGGUAAAGGCCUACCAAGGCGACGAUCCGUAACUGGUCUGAGAGGAUGAUCAGUCACACGGGAAGUGGGACAAGGUCAAGACGACUAAGGGAGGCAGCAGUGGGGAAUAGGGGACAAUGGGCGAAAGCAUGAUCCAGCCAGGGAGCGUGUGUGAAGAAGGUCUUCGGAUUGUAAAGAACGUUAAGUGGGGAGGAAGGGCAGUAAGUUAAGAACUAGCUGUUGUGACGUUACCAACAGAAGAAGCACCGGCUAACUACGUG
rnacentral:rRNA from 1 species